rnacentral:rRNA from 1 species
UACGUAGGGGGCUAGCGUUGUCCGGAAUCAUUGGGCGUAAAGCGCGCGUAGGCGGCCCGGUAAGUCCGUUGUGAAAGUCAAAGGCUCAACCUUUGAAAGCCGAUGGAUACUGCCGGGCUGGAGUCCGGAAGAGGCGAGUGGAAUUCCUGGUGUAGCGGUGGAAUGCGCAGAUAUCAGGAGGAACACCAAUAGCGAAGGCAGCUCGCUGGGACGGUACUGACGCUGAGGUGCGAAAGCGUGGGGAGCAAACAGG